AGCGAACGCUGGCGGCAGGCUUAACACAUGCAAGUCGAGCGGGCCUUUCGGGGUCAGCGGCGGACGGGUGAGUAACGCGUGGGAACGUGCCCUCUGGUUCGGAAUAACUCAGGGAAACUUGAGCUAAUACCGGAUACGCCCUUUUGGGGUAAGGCUUGCUGCCGGAGGAUCGGCCCGCGUCUGAUUAGCUAGUUGGUGAGGUAACGGCUCACCAAGGCGACGAUCAGUAGCUGGUCUGAGAGGAUGAUCAGCCACACUGGGACUGAGACACGGCCCAGACUCCUACGGGAGGCAGCAGUGGGGAAUAUUGGACAAUGGGCGCAAGCCUGAUCCAGCCAUGCCGCGUGAGUGAUGAAGGCCUUAGGGUUGUAAAGCUCUUUUAUACGGGACGAUAAUGACGGUACCGGAGGAAUAAGCCCCGGCUAACUUCGUG
rnacentral:rRNA from 1 species